UGCCGCGUGCAGGAAGACGGCCCUACGGGUUGUAAACUGCUUUUCCGGGGGACGAAUAGGGCCGACGUGUCGGCCGAUGCCGGUACCCCGGGAAUAAGGAUCGGCUAACUCCGUGCCAGCAGCCGCGGUAAUACGGAGGAUCCGAGCGUUAUCCGGAUUUACUGGGUUUAAAGGGUGCGUAGGCGGGCUCCUAAGUCGGCGGUGAAAGUCUGCGGCUCAACCGUAGGAUUGCCGUUGAUACUGGGGGCCUUGGAUACGGUCGAGGCGGGUGGAAUGCGCGGUGUAGCGGUGAAAUGCUUAGAUAUCGCGCAGAACGCCGAUUGCGAAGGCAGCUCGCCAGGCCGUGAUUGACGCUGAGGCACGACAGCGUGGGGAUCGAACAGGAUUAGAUACCCUGGUAGUCCACGCCGUAAACGAUGAUGGCUGGGUGUUGGCGGUACACGGUCAGCGCCUGAGCGAAAGCAUUAAGCCAUCCACCUGGGGAGUACGGCCGCAAGGUUGAAACUCAAAGGAAUUGACGGGGGCCCGCACAAGCGGAGGAACAUGUGGUUUAAUUCGAUGAUACGCGAGGAACCUUACCCGGGCUAGAACGCCGAACGAACGGCCCCGAAAGGGGUCGGCCAGCGAUGGCGGUCGGCGAGGUGCUGCAUGGUUGUCGUCAGCUCGUGCCGUGAGGUGUCGGGUUAAGUCCCAUAACGAGCGCAACCCCUACCGCCAGUUGCCAGCGGGCAAUGCCGGGGACUCUGGCGGAACUGCCGGCGUAAGCCGCGAGGAAGGCGGGGAUGACGUCAAAUCAGCACGGCCCUUACGUCCGGGGCUACACACGUGUUACAAUGGCCGGUACAGAGGGCAGCCACCCCGCGAGGGGGCGCUAAUCUCGAAAGCCGGUCCCAGUUCGGAUCGGGGUCUGCAACCCGACCCCGUGAAGUUGGAUUCGCUAGUAAUCGCGCAUCAGCAACGGC
rnacentral:rRNA from 1 species